rnacentral:rRNA from 1 species
CAGCCGCCGCGGGAAUACAGAGGGUGCGAGCGUUAAUCGGAUUUACUGGGCGUAAAGCGUGCGUAGGCGGCUUUUUAAGUCGGAUGUGAAAUCCCUGAGCUUAACUUAGGAAUUGCAUUCGAUACUAGGAAGCUAGAGUAUGGGAGAGGAUGGUAGAAUUCCAGGUGUAGCGGUGAAAUGCGUAGAGAUCUGGAGGAAUACCGAUGGCGAAGGCAGCCAUCUGGCCUAAUACUGACGCUGAGGUACGAAAGCAUGGGGAGCAAACAGGAUUAGAUACCCCGGUAGUCCCUGUCUCUUAUAC